GUUUUUUUUCAACUAUCUGAUGGUUUCAGUUUUAUAUCCUAUUUCCUAAUCAAGUACUUACAGUAACUAAAUUGAAUGGAAAAUGGGUACCAAAAAUUAUAUUUAAGAAUGUAAUGAAAGAGAAAUAAAAUUUCUUUCUUUUAUUCUCCCUCUGUGUCUCUUUGCCUCUCUGCCUCUCUGUCUCUCUCUCUGUCUAUCUGUCUGUCUGUCUCUCUCUGUGUGUGUGUGUGUGUGUGUGUGUGUGUGUGUGUGUGUGUGUGUGUGUGUGUAUGAGAGGGAGGGAGGGAGGGAGGGAGAGGGAGAGGGAGAGGGAGAGGGAGAGGGAGAGGGAGAGGGAGAGGGAGAGGGAGAGCUGUGUGUGUUUUAACUAUUUUUGAAGAUCUGUUGAGUCUACUUUGACAAAUAGGAAUUGCCUGCUUUUUCUGAUCAAAAGCAAUACAUCUUGAUGUUUAUCUACAAUGGUUUUGAAAGUGGGAGAGAUUAUGCUAGUUCUGAAAUAGAAAAACUGCAGAGCCCAAGGCUCACAUGUUUUCUUCUUUUAUAUAUAUAUUUUUAAAUAUUUUAUUAAUUUCUUUGUGAUUAUGUUGCCAUGAAUGCAUAUGUGUCGUAGUCUGUAUUUAUGCUAACUACUUUAGAUUUACAUAAAUAUGAGAGUGUAUCACACAUGAACAGUAUAUGAGGGUUUUUUUUUUCUAUUACUCUACAAUCAGAGUCUGUGAGUGACUAGAACAUUGUUUCAGCUAGCCUCGCUGCCUAGAAAGCAUGUAAGGUCAGCCUGUCUGGAUUCCCCUACUCUAGGAUUGCGCACAGCAACAGCCAUGCCCGGUUAUAUACACAGUUGGGGUGUAUAUGCUGGGAUUGAUUUGUGGUCUUCAUGCUUGCAGAGCAACGCCGCUGGCCCAAUGACAUGGCUCUAAGAACCUUCUUCUUAUUUUCUUAGUGACAAAAUUGUCUUCUGCUGUGUUAUGAUUACCAUUGUUAAACAAAACUAUAGGUGUAAGUUUUAAAAAUAAGAGUUACUUAUUAUGGACAAUGAAAAUAAAUUCAUUUUGUUUUUUCCCUCUGAUUGUUCACACCCAGUUUCCUAACCUUUCACUGGGGAAAAAAAUAAAAUAUAAAAAAAUAAAUAAAUAAAUAGAAAGUAUCUCAGGUGUUGUUCACACAAAAGUGUAUGAGGCUCAGAUCUGUCACCCUCCAGGUACAAAAUCUUGAGAAUGUUAUUCUUUAUCUCCAUCAUUUUCCUCUUAAUUAUCAAGCCAGAAUACACAACAACAACAACAACAAAAACCCCAACAAAAACAUAGCUGGUCACCAGAGGCUGUCAUCAGAUUCAUAUAGCUUCACAAAUAUCAGGCAAUGUAAAGAACUAUAAAAUGUUUUAAAAAUAAUCAUACAUUGGCAGAAAGGACAUAGUCAAAGCAGGGGUGAUUUCCCAACAGUUGCUGAGACUCCUUGCUUCGCCAUUCUCCAAAACCAAGUCCAAGACUCUGAGUCCACGCCUCUCACUGCUCGUUGUCAGGGUGAUGCCUCAAGGCUAGUUAUCCUGCGUUAAUACUGUGCUGCUCUCUAAACUGGUGGUUUGUGGAUAAGCAGGGGAGUUUCAUCUUUCAUGUAUUAAACAGACAUGCAUUUAGUUAUGACAACUUUGAAUUGCAUGGAAGGCUUGGGUGGAAUGUAAAACCUUGAUUAAAUAAAGGGAGGUAGACCUUUGAGGUUUGUGCACAGAUUUUCAAACAAAUAUUUUUUUUCAAAAAAAAAAGUGUUUACUCAGAAAAUCUCUGGUUAUGUGAUAAUGAAAACUCAUAUAUCUUUGAAAUGUCUUAUGAUGACAUUUAGCAAGGAUCAGUAAAAUCCUCCUCAAAUAUUAGAAAAGUCAUAAUAAAUGUAUGAGUGCAAAUUCUAAAGUACAUUUUAUUUCCUUGUUAGUUAACAGUUUUCCGAAUCUCAAGGUGAUAACUACUAUUUAUUAUUCUUAGAAACAAAAUGUGUAAUAUUACUUUUUCAUGCCAUUUUAUGCCACUUCAACAAUCAGGUACUUAUCUUUUGACCCAGCAUAGAUAGAAUUUUUUAGUGGAAGGUACAUACUUCAUAGUUUAAUGUAUUCAAAUAUUAAUACAUAUAAGAUAGUAAUUAUAGUACUUCCCCUUUCUAUAUAAUAGUAAGGAAAUGUAGGAGACAUUAAAAUGCUUUAAUACAUUAAAAGUUUUUUCAGAUUAUCAUUUAUUAAGUAAAUAAUACACUAACAAUCCUUGUAAAGGUAGUGGCUGCAAAAAAAAAAAAAAAAAUCUGAAGACCUAAAAAAGAAUCUGAAAUUUAUUCCUAGAUAUUUUUAGGAAUUCCAGAUGAGAAAAUCAAAUAAGGAUACUGAUAAGUUUUGAGAGAUUGUCAAGUCCACAGCUGGGCAUAGACCCAAAUGAAAUGAAUUGGGAUGCAUGCAAUCCCAUCUGAGUCUCAGUUCUGAGAGGUUCCAAAUCCACCCUUGUUUUUUGCAGAAACUGUUUGCUUGUUGUGGAAUUUACAGAUUUACUUACCUGUUAACCAUUUAUAGGAGCAGCAAGUCCUCUGAGCUGCCUUUACAGCAUCUAUCAUGCCAUCUCAUCUGAUUUCUUCAAAGCCAUUAAAGAAGAUGAACUGCACCCUGUUAUGACACAGAUUUGUGCAACGCACUAUAAUCAGAGGAAUGCCACCUCAUCACAUUUGCUACACUAUGCUGUUGAAAGCUAGAAGGGGACACUUGUAGUAAAUGGCAGGGUUGGCAGGAUGAUAAGAAUCAAGACUCACUGGAGGAUUCUUUAUUUUCUGUAUGCUGAAAAAAAGGAAAGUGUCUGCAAUCAGGUUUCUGAAUUGACUUCAGUUUAGCAAUAAUAAUUUGAAAGUCUGACCAAUAGGCUCUCCAGAUGUUCAGUCAGUAAAGGGCUUGUUAUACGAGUAUGAGGACCUGAACAGGAUCACUAAAAUCCAGGCCAUGAUGUAUGACCUGUAAUCCAGUGCUGGGAAGACAAUAGACAGAUCCAUGAGAUUAGUGGCUUACUAUUCAUGACAGUGUUGUGAAUAGUAAGGUGGGAGUGAGUGAGAGAGAGACAUCCAAUGUUGACUCCUGGCCUCUAUCUCAAACACAUAUUAGUCUACAUAAUGAGUGGCAGGAUCCAAACCACGCAUAAAGCAGAGGUGAAGGUGACCUUGGAGGAUGUUAUUUCAUAUGAGACUUGUGAUUCUCUUUCAGUCUCAUCAGAGGUAUUGACAACUCUGAAUCUCUGUAGUUGUAAAGCCACUCUGCCUUUGUUUUCAUGUUGACAAAUAGAAUUGUGCCCCCUUGCAACUUGUGGAAGAGUCAGGGCAAUGUUUGAGGGACGCUAAGAGGACAGGAUCCCAACAGAAAGAACCAAAAGUCAACUAACCUGGACCCAUAGAGGCUUACAGAGACUUAACCAACAACCAGAGAACAACCAUAGACUGAACCUAGUCCCAGUGUAGGUAGCAGAUGUGCAGCUUGGUCUUCAUGUGGUUUCCCCAACAAGAGAUGUGGGAGCUGUCUCUAAAUUUGUUGCCUGCCUGUGGAUCCCUUUCCCCUAAGUUGCCUUGUCUGGCCUUAGCAAGAGUGCAUUCUCAUAGUCCUGCAAUGACUGAUGUGAGCAUGUGUUUGUGUAUGGGGAGGGGGGUUUAUCUUUGAUAACCAGCAGGUGUCUCCCCCAUUCUCAGAGGAGAAAAUGGGGGGGAGGAGCUUCAAGAGCAAGAAACUGGGAUCAUGAGAUGUAAUUUAUUUAUUUUUACAUAAACAAACAAACAAACAAAUAAAAUACACAUCGUAUUCAUAAAGACUGUUUUCAGGACUCUUAUUUGUGUUUCCCUCAUGGUGCAGUAGUCAGAGUCUAUUGAGUUAGGGUUGAUGGUCUGUAGUGGAGAAACACUGUCACCACUGUUACAUUUUUAUGCUGGUGUUUAGACACUUGGGUUUGGGAAGGUUGUAAUUCUAGAUGCUGAUAUCUGGACUUGUCUUUGUCCAGUGGGUGUUUUGUUGGUUGCUCUCUGUUACUCUCUAUGGUUUUGAGAAGAUUAUGGUGGCUGCUUGUCGUCGCUUCAGAGUGAACUAUACUGGUUAUCUGCUAGGGGUGAGCACUGGGGGUUCUGGGUAAAAUAUGUUUCUAGGUAUUCUAAGCUGACAUUUGGGAAUGAGGAUGUGUUAUUCAAGGUGCGUGUCUGUGUGUUUGCUUGAAUGUGUAUAAGCGGGUCCAAAACAGAGAAGUAAAAAGGAACUUUUACUGGUAGAUUCUCAGACCACUGGCUAUGGGGACAGGGGCUGAGUAGAGGCAAAAUUUAAUAGUCAUCUACAGAGUUGUUGAUGAGACUUGGGGAUUGGAUUAGCGAAAGAGGAGGAAGGGAGAUGGCAAGAAACUCUCCUUUUCUGCUUCUGCUACUACGUGCUUCUUUAGAGGCUGGGCUCACUGGUUCCCAGUUAAUGUCUACUAGGGUCGUGGGUAGGAAUAACAGAAUGAGUGGAGAGAAAGGUUAGAAAGAAGAUAGAUCUCCAUCCUCUAGAGAAGGGAAAGAGAGGACAAGGAGGCCACACCAGGUGGUCUUUAAAGAGUUUGGGGUGAGGGGGAUUUUGUUUAAAAGAGAGGUGGGAGAGGGGGAGAUCUGCUAUUCAGGCCCUACUGGCUCCCAGAAAUUGUCUGCUCCCUAGGAGCUGCCAGGAAUUGGGUACUGGAAUAAGGAAAUGAGUGGGGCUAAGGAAAGGUUGGAGAGAGGAUCUUUUGAAGAUGGGGGCACAGGUGAGAGUAGUGGUUGGCUACAGGCUAGGGUGAAACUGGAGGAUUAGACUGAAGGGACAGAGGGAGAAAUGGUCUGCAGUUAGGGUGCCUGCUUCCCUGGCAGGAGUCAACAUGAAAUUAUUUUAAAGUUGAAGCUUCAUGAUGAAAGCCAUGGUCAGAUUUUGCAAUAGGAUCUGAUAAAAUGGUGUUUGUCUCAAAUCAUUACAAAUUAUGGGAGCUAUCAUUGCAGUCUGGUGUGUGUGUAUGUGCGUGUUUGUGUAUGUGUGUAUUUACAUAUGUAUGUAUGUAUGUAUGUAUGUAUGUAUGUAUGUAUGUAAACAAGCUCUAGUAAUUUUCUAGAUAAUAGUUUUCCUUCUUGAAGCCUAUCUUGAAAUUGGAGAAACUGACAAUAGAGAGACAAUGAUUUUUAAACUAUGAGUAUAUAAUUAAUUUAAAGAAAAUACAGUAUGUUAAACAAAGUUUCUAAGGUAAUGUUUAACUAUUGAAUCCCAAAGAUUUCCUUCUCUUUGGGAAGACUAAAACCUCUCAAGAUUUCAGCUGAUUAGGUAAGUCUCAACCACAUUACAGAGUAUGAUCUGCUCAAAAUCCACUGAUUGAAUGUUUGUCAUCUCUAAGAAAAUUCUACAGGGCAAUAUCCAGAGUGAUGUUAAUCACAGACUAAAAAGUUGACACACAAUAUCAGACAGUAAUAGAAAGUCAAGUGAUGCGAUUUAAAAUAAUGUUUUAGAGAAUUCAUUAAACAGAUGGUUUAUCCUGCACAGCCAUCGACAAUGUCAAAGAACGGAGCUUUGAGAAUACCAUGAAGCAUAUCUUUUCAAGCAAGAGAGAGAAUCAUGUCCUAAGGAAAGAGUCCUAAGGCAGAGUUUGAGACCAUGUUUGAUGAAUUACUAUAAAAUAUCUACUACAGGUAAACUAAAAUAAAACAAGGGAAGAGAAGAUAAGCAAAGAAGCAGCAAAGUGGUGUUUGGUCCUGCAAUACUCUGGCAGUGGUGGGACACAGUUAUAAUGUCGACAUUUGGGAGAUGAUGACAAAUAAUAGACCUCAGGAAAUCUCCAGGAACAUAGAGAUGGGAAUACACACACAUACACACACACAUACACACACCAUAAAGUUUUGUGGUUUGUUAUAACAGCAACAAUAAAUUAUGUAUAUUUUCAUGAAGCUCACCAUUAAGCACCCUAGUUGAGCUAGUUAAAUGUUCACUCUGAUGUGAUGUAUGACUCACUUUGUGUAAUAUUCAAAAUAGUAAAAACUGGACAGCCAACAUGAAAUCGACUAGACCCAUGAUUCAGAGAUGUCACUCUCACAGUCAGCUAGAGACAAUUGACCAGAUUCAGAAGAUAUUUGGGAAAAUAGGCAACAUACUUUUUAUAUUUUGACAAAAGCUUAUACAUGUAAAAUCAAGCUAAGAAGUCCAAGUGCUUGAGGCUCAGGCAUUUGACUGAGAUAAAGGGGACUCUUGGAUAUUCUAGAUGAUAUUAUUUCAGUUUAGAGCAUAAGUUUAACCCUGAGAGGAUUGUGAGCCUCCUAGAAUAAGAUGUAUAGCACCCACCUGAUUUUGUUGAGUCUUGGGAUCUGGAAAGGGGUAUUUAGACUGCAUUGAAAUGUGCAGAAAAUAUAAUUCAGUGUCCUAUGAAGUUACUUAGGCAGACAGGAAGGUAAUAAAUCUGAGAUGAGAACAGCCACUCAUAAAUCAGUUAUGCUUCAAGGAAGUUUAGAAGCAUUUUUAAGUUUUACAAAUAUAGAACCUUUGGCUAAGGUCACCCCCAAUGAGUCCUAAGAGCAUCUCACUUCUCUGGUCUCUGGCACUUUCUAGAGGGUUGCCCCACUCCCACUCCCUGAGGCUGUUUAUUUCCAUUCCUUCUCUUGGCCCUCUGGGCUUCUCUCCUGUUCCCUCUCCAAGUCCAUAUCUAAUCCUGUUCCCCUUUUCCUCUCUGCCUCCCCUCUCCCACCCAGGUCCCUCCCUCCCUCUGCCUCCUGUGAUUAUUUCCUUCCCCCUUCUUAGUGGGACUGAAACCUCCUCACUUGGGCAUUUCUGCUUCUUACUCUUCUUAAAUUCUGGGGAUUGUAUCCUAGGUGGUCUUUACGCUUUGACUAAUAUCCACUUAUCAGUGAGUACAUACCCUUCAUGUCCUUUUGGGUCCGAGUUACUGGCCUAACUUGGGAUCCAUCUCAUGAGGGGGACACCAAGGAUAUGGUGUACUUACAAAUGGAAGCCUGCCAUGGCUGUUCUCUGAGAGGCUCUACCAGCAGCUGACUGAAACAGAAGCAGAUACUUUCAUCUAUGUAUUUGACUGAAGACAGGAAGCCCUAUGUUUGAAUUAGAGUAAGGAUUGAAGAAGCUGAAAGAAAGAAUGACCUCACAGAAAGACGUGCAGUCUCAACCCAGACACCAGGGAACUCCCAGAGACUAAGCCAAACCGCAGGAGUGUACAUGGACUAGUCUGAGGCUCCUGGUACAUAUGUAGCAGAGGUCUGCCUGGUCUGGCCUCAGGGGGAGAAGAUUCAUUUUACCCUUGUGAGACAUGAGGCCCCAGGGAAGUAGAAGGCCUUAUGAGGGAGGCACCACAUCUCAGAGGCAAUGGGGAGGAGGAAUGGCAGGAGGAACUGCGGGAGAGCGGACCAAGGGAGGCAACAACUGUAAUGUAAAUAAAUAAAAUAAUUUAAGAUAGAUAGAUAGAUAGAUAGAUAGAUAGAUAGAUAGAUAGAUAGAUAGAUAGAUGCACCUACACUCUAUCUUUCAAAGUUAGCCAUUGCUAUAAUAUGAAAAUUUCUCAACAGACAUCUAACAUGAUAAAACCUACUCAACAAGAAAUGAAAGUUUCCAGAUCAAAGCCAAUUUGAUUUCUCCAAGUUUUGUCGUCAAAUUUAUAGCAUCCUCAGCAAUAGGUUCUUAUUGUUCAGGUCUGUUGAGCAAGCAACAGCAAUGGCAGUGGCCUUCAGUGCUUUGCAAGUCUCUAGGAAUCCUAACCCCAUCGUAACCAGCAACACCACAUGUAUGCCAUGCCUGACACUGGGCUAUUUAUUUAAUAUCCUAUGGCUUUUCAUAGGAACAUUACCUAUCCGUAUCUAAAAUCUCACGUGUGUGUGGGUAUCUGUGUGUGUGGGUAUCUGUGUGUAUGGGUAUCUGUGUGUGUGUGUAUCUGUGUGUGUGUGUGUGUGUGUGUGUGUGUGUGUGUGUGUAUAUAAAAGAGUAGAUUUCCAGAUCUGUUUUGCACACAACCUUAGUGUUAAUCAUGCCUUACUAGUUUUCUUUUCUUUAUUCUAAGUCAUAUUUCUUUUUAAUAAAUGGCUUCAGUUUUACUCAAAUACCAAAAUCUGUACAUUAUUCAUUAAGCGGUUUUUCUUGUAUUCUAUUUUUACAGGGAAGAAAUGAGUAAUAUUGAACUAUGUCUGCUGGGAGGAAGUUUAAAGUGGCUUAUUUGGACCAUGUCAAAUCCAGUUCUUUUACGCCAUAACUUUUAGAAAGAAAAAUGACUCUGAACAGAAUAGGCAAUUUGACUUACUGUGCUUAAAAUGGGCAAUGUUAUUUUUAUAGUUUCUAGAAGAGAAUUGAAGUAAUUCUAUUAUUAUGAAAUUAAUUUGCAUAUUAAUCUUCAAAAUGACUCAUUUGCCAUCAGGAGCACUUUUAAAUAUACCC
rnacentral:lncRNA from 1 species